rnacentral:tRNA from 1 species
GCCCGGCUAGAUCAGUAGGUAGAGCAUGAGACUCUUAAUCUCAGGAUCGAGGGUUCGAGCCCCACGUCGGGCG